ensembl:lncRNA MUC20-OT1 MUC20 overlapping transcript
CAGACCACAGUGUCCUCUGCAACCCUGGUAACUCACAUACAGGCCCGAUUCCACCUACAGCAAAGCUGGAUGCGAUGGCUGGCAGAGGCAAACCCUUUGCCUGCACUUCAGGCCAAAGCCGGGAUGUGGCCUAGAUGGUUCCUAAGGUCCCUGACAAUCCUGAGAUCUUGCAUCUUGUCUAUUUCAGGUCAAAGGUGCCUACAUGCUCCUUCUAGCUUUGUUUCCCUGAUGUUCCUUGCCACCUGCUACUCCUCUCUGAGCUACUUUUCCAGGUUCCACAGGGAGAGGUUCAGCUGUCCGUGGUAGACAUGAGGGUAGAGAAUGAGGUGGUUGGGUUCCACUUACCUUUCUAUCAUCUUGCAGUAUGGAUGUCUCUUGACUGGUACCGUGUAGACUUUUGAGGGCACACAGGAGUCUGCAGAGAGAUACUGGGGACAUUGAGCAGCAGCAGUGGGGUUGGGAGGCAGAAAUGAGGACAGGAACAUUUACCUUGUGUUUCUCUCAGCUUCUCAGAUGACCAAGAUGGUGCUGCAGAUGGUGCUGAGGAUGGAGAACCCACCAAGCCCCGCUAGGAGCCACCUAGACUGGAUGCAGAGCAUGAUUUGAAGAUUGUACCAGGAGAGCCGCAGUGUUCCAGAGCUACUGAGGGGCUGGGCUGGGAUUUGCUGUAUUCGAGAAGACCCCCUUGGACCCGAGAGGCUGUGGGCUUGGGGAGCAUGAGGAGGUUUCACAGCAGAAAGGACACCCCGGGGCUCCUGGAUAAGCCAGAAAAUGUGCCAGGGGAAGUCGGGCUCCAAGGGCACCACUCUGGGCUUCCAGCUGUGUGGGCUGGACCAAGAAGGCUCAAAGAAAUGAUCUCAGGCUUGAAGUGGGGAGAAGAAACUGUAUUAUGAAGGCAGACGAACAGUUCCUGCAAAAGCCCCAGCACCCGCAGAGCAGACACUGCGAUGACAACGGACGACACAGAAGUGCCCGCUAUGACUCUAGCACCG